GGCCUUGUAGCUUAAUUUGGAUAGAGCCAUCGGUUUCGGCCCGGUAGAUAGGGGUUCAAAUCCCCUCGAGGCCG
rnacentral:tRNA from 1 species